rnacentral:snoRNA from 1 species
GUGUGGCGCAUGGGAGCGUAGGCCUUCGGGCCCCUGACGUACAGUCCCUUUCCACGACGUUGGAGAACAAGCCGGGCCUCGAGUCUGCAGCCUGCAUAUUCCUACUGCUUCUCUGAGCCCUCGGGCGGUUACAGAGGAGACAAACCAUGCAGGAAACACUU